GUCUCUCCAGUACGGAGCAUACUGUUAAUCUCCUGCAGUCUCUGAGAGAAAAUAUGAGCAGGAUUAACUUUCAGCAGGCAAAAGAUGUUUACUCUCUCGCACCUUAGCCAUAACAUAGAUGGCACACAUGAGCAGUUGGUCGAGGUGGCGAUUCAUCAUGAGCUCAGUGCAGUGCACCAGCGAGUACUCGAAGCAGGUCCAGGUCUUCCUGCGCAGAUCUGUGCUGAUGUCCAGCUUCACACACAGGUCUCGGAGACGCACGCUGGCCAAGUGAUACACCUGACACGCAGGACAGGAGGAACAGGCGGAAUCACUGCUGGAACAAUGCUGUUACUGAGGAAACUGAGUGUCGCAGGAAUACAGAAGAAAAUAUACACUGGAAUCCAUUUUUUUUUCUUCAGAUUUGGUACAAAAAAAAAAAAUAAUAAAAAAAAUAAACCUCAAACAGAACUGAAUAGUAUUUACACCACAAUCAAGCUGAUAUCAGAAAUGUGAUGUUUAAACAAGACUGAUGUAAGUGUGUGUAACUUGCAGAGGUUUAAACCUCAGUUUGUGUUGUUUAGUGAGUAAUUAGGUUAUAUAUUACCAGUGGAUUCUUUAUACAGCAUUAACGUCCUU